AUUGAACGCUGGCGGCAUGCCUUACACAUGCAAGUCGAACGGCAGCACGGGUGCUUGCACCUGGUGGCGAGUGGCGAACGGGUGAGUAAUACAUCGGAACAUGUCCUGUAGUGGGGGAUAGCCCGGCGAAAGCCGGAUUAAUACCGCAUACGAUCUACGGAUGAAAGCGGGGGACCUUCGGGCCUCGCGCUAUAGGGUUGGCCGAUGGCUGAUUAGCUAGUUGGUGGGGUAAAGGCCUACCAAGGCGACGAUCAGUAGCUGGUCUGAGAGGACGACCAGCCACACUGGGACUGAGACACGGCCCAGACUCCUACGGGAGGCAGCAGUGGGCAAUUUUGGACAAUGGGCGAAAGCCUGAUCCAGCAAUGCCGCGUGUGUGAAGAAGGCCUUCGGGUUGUAAAGCACUUUUGUCCGGAAAGAAAUCCUUGGCCCUAAUACGGUCGGGGGAUGACGGUACCGGAAGAAUAAGCACCGGCUAACUACGUG
rnacentral:rRNA from 1 species